AGGGCCAAUGCUGUCUUCUCGAAGUUUCCACUCAGAUCACUCUUGAGCACCUCUGCCAGGUCCUGUAGGAAGACAACAAGAGCCCUAACUGGGAAUGGCCUGAGAAGAGAGGGACAGAUGUCUUCUCACCCCAGUACCUGACCUCAGUCAACAGAAAACCUGCUGUGGACACAUGGGGGUGGUCUAGACAGAAGCCCUACAGGCACAGGUGACCUGCUGUGGAGGACAGUAGUCACCAUGACUGCCCCUUCCAUCCAUCUUUCCCCAGAACUGGCAGAGAGAAGACACCCUGCUCAGGGCUGGAGACCCCAAAGAUGAAUCACAAUAAAAACCAACAUUUGCCAAACAUGUUAGGGCUCAGAGGGCUUUCUCACUGAUCCUCCAAAUGGGCCUGGCAUUGUCUCCAUUUAUAGGACUUCAAAAAGAUGCACAAUGUGCCCAAACACUGGUCUAGAAAGGACUGAGACACAGGUUUGUUAUUUCUAGGCGGACCAGGUCAUUUGUCAUCCAAAUUGGAAUGGUUUUGAGAGUGAAGAGGCUGCUAUCAAUAACCACAGAGGGACAGUAGGAAUGAACAGGGACCACCCUACGCAAACCAGAUGUGCAGUUACUUCCGUUUUCUUGUCAAAUCCCGACAGGGACCCAUGUGGGAAAGGCCUCCGGUGGGGAGAAGAUGUACAUGACAUUCUCACAGGCACCCUGGUUUUGGCAAGCAUCCAUUUUCAAGGAUGUUUUUUGGCAAAUGCCAUCUUAUUAUUAGAAGAGAACUGCCUGCUCCGACCUGUCUUCCUCUGGCAGGAUGGUGUGAUGAGCGAAAGGGUCAAGAGUGGUGUUCAGCCUAGCGAGAGUCGCCAGCGUCCCGAUUUAAAUGAAGGAUCUCCAAGCAUGACCUUCACGUUCAGACAGCACAGUGUGGGUCAGACUGGAGGCCCGAGACCAGCUAGCAUUUUAGGACCCAAGUUACAGCACAUGGCGGGUCUGAUGGCUAACACAGUCACAGGAGCUCUGUGACCUUGGAAAUGUACUCACUUUGACCAACUGUCGGUUCCCUUCUCUGAAACAAAGGGAGAAUAAUGAGACCUACCUCUUAGGUUUAUUGGGAGAAUUACAUGAAAGAAUCCAUGUAAACCCUAAGCACGCUGCCUGGCACACUUUAAAUGCUCAGCAGUGAUUAUCAUUUCAGGCUGAAAGGAACUUCCUCAGAGGAGGCAAAUCAGCUCUUUCUAAGAUGAUCCUCUGAGCUCUGAGCCUGGGAGAAAAGCCCAGAAGGUUUUUGUCUCAGGCCCUGGAAUCUGCAGUCCGAAGAGGCGGCUGUGAUUUUACUGCCUCUGUCCCACAGCAGCUGCUCCAUCUAACACUGUGUCAUGUGAGAGCAGGUCUUUGGUUAGUACUCUGCGUGUGGAUCUGCCGAAGAGUGGGGAUGGUUUUCAGGUCAGAUGGGCAUUAUAUAGAACUUCAGAGAAGAGAAACCCCAGCUGCCUACUCGUACAGGCCACAAGUAUGAAAACAAAUCCUUGUGUGUUUACAUUCUGUUUGGACACAGGAACGUGCUCCGGGUACCUCAGCUCUAAUCCUGUUUUUCUUCCAGCUAGCUGUGUCACCUGAGCAUGUAUAUACUCUUUGGAGCAGUUGUCACAGGGAUUUGGAUAUGCUCAUCCCUAACAUCGCCUAGCUUCAUGAUGUGAUUCUAGAUCACUCUUGGGCAGUCUCAGCUGUCUGAAGCACAGCUGGGAACUGGAAGGCUUUGUUCAGCGUUUUGGCAUCUCGAUCUGCAUCAAAACCCUGAUGACUUCUCACUUUGGCCUGGAGAAAAUAAUUGAAAAGAGUCUCAAACAGUCACUGGCUCAUGGUAGUUUCCUUAAAAGAAUAUGUUGACCUGACGAAAAGGAUGAGAGUGGCUUCCCUCCUCUCCGCUGGCAGAGGGAUGCUUUGUAGCUGCCUUUCCGUGAAUAGCUCUAGGGGGUGCGAUUCUCACCAUACCCACCUCUUGAUUACUUAUAUUUGCCUACAUCAAGUUUGGAUUUGACAGAAUCAGAACCAUGCAUGGUGUCAUCUCCUUUCUCCUUCCCCAGCUGGAUGCUUCUGUAGGAAGGUGGCCAGGAUGAUUCCAAGCAGCAGCAGUGGGAAAGGAAGAGGAUUUCCCGUGAUUCCCGGGUCAUUUCUGGGAGGUGGUCACGUGUGGAGGUGUAGAGGGGAGAGGAGAAGGACUUCCUGGGAGGGGAGAGUAAGCAGACCUCACAGAACAGGAAUUGGAGAGUUGUUUUGUCUUGUGUCAUUAUAAAUAUUUAGUGAUAUAAGUUAUUUCAGGUGCUGCAUAAUAUCUUCCUUUACUAAAUUGGGCCUGUUUAUUUACAUCUCUCAGAUUCUGGUGGUUCACAAAAUGAUGAUUCCAGCCAAUAUUUGAAUAUCCUUCUAACCUUAUGAGUCUCAAUAACAAAUCAUAAAUUGAUCUUGCCAAAGACAGCCUUUCCUUCUGUGCUGCCCACCAAGGUCAAGUUUCCAACACUGCAAAAUUGUUAUACGUCCAUUAUGCUUUAAAUUGUAUCCCCCUCAAAAGCCAUGUGGAGGUCCUAACCUUCAGUACCAGUGAAUGUGACUUUAUUUGGAAGUAGUCUUUCUAGAUGUAACCAAGUUAAGAUGGUAUUGUGGUGUCCUUAUAAAAACAGGAAAACACCAGGUGAAAACAGACAUACACAGGGAGAAGGCUGUGUGAUGACGGAGGCAGAGACUGGAGUGGUUUAGGUGCAAGCCGACAAAUGCCAUGGAUGGAUGGCCACCCCCAAAUGCAGGAAAAGGGAGGGGAAGGAGUCUCCUCUACAGGUUUCAGAGAGAGAACAGCCCUGCCAACUCUGUGAUUUUGGCUUCUAGCCUCCAGAAUUGUGAGAUCAUAGAUUUCUGUUGUGUUAAGCCACCAAAUUUGUAGUACAUUGUUACAGCAGCCUUAGGAAACUAAUACGUUAAAACAAAACAAAACAAAAAGUGUCAGUUGCUGUGAUUCUUACAGCAAAUGCACUGUGCUGUGUAAUUUGUAUUUAAUAAACUUUUGA